UGAUAGCGAUGAAGCGCGAGGUUGCUGCGCGUAGCCGCAGGUUUUCCGUGGAGCGAAUGUCAUGUAAGGAUACUGGCGACAA
rnacentral:ncRNA from 1 species